UUCUGUACAGAGAAUAACCAACUCAUUGUGUGUGUAAAUUAAUCAAGACAGUUGUGCUAUGUGACUUUUUGUUUUAUACAUGUUUUUAAGUAAAAUAUUUUAUCUGUUAAAUUUGACUGCGCUGUUUGUAGAUGCACAUAAAUUUCAUGCCUGUGUGACGUUAAGAUAAUACUGUUGUGAUGUUUUAAGCAUUGCUAGUCAUAUUUGAAUAGAAAUAAAUGCACAGUGAUGUUAAUUUCAGCUGCCACUGAUCUCAUGUCCUACACAGAUGAUAAUGAGUUGUCUGCAGUGGCAGAAAAGAUAGAAUUUUAUCUCAAGUUUUCCAACCAACUGCGACUACUCCGGCACCUGCACCAAAAGAAAAGACUCCGCCAGAAAAGACUCUGCAACAGGCAGUACCUAAAAACCUGAAAUGAGAGCGAUCGGCCAAUGUGAAGUUUGUCGCAUAGACGGGGAUUGACCGCCUUUGUACAUAUAUGUCUACAGCUUCUCAGAUUUGACCGAAGACAGUUGUUCGGUGUUGUGAAUGGGUAAAUAAUUCCAUUUUAGAUGCUUUUAAUCAAGAUCAGAUGUUGUUCGGCCGAAGGCCUUCCAGUCACAUAGAAGAUCCUGGUUCGGUCACACGAAGGGUCACUUCCAUUGAUAUUAGUCACCGGAAAAAUUAGGAGCACCAACUGUAGUUUCUCAGUGCCUGAACAGUGAAAGCUUCCACAAGGACUGCCUCUUCAAGUCGCUUUAUCAGUACCUGAACCAACAUCUUCAGCAGUCUCAGAUAAACCACUGCUGUAUGAAGGAUGGCAGUCGGCCUUGACAGCUGUGGAGUGAAUCAUGUUUGGGUAUCAAAAAAUAAAAGGAAGAAGUGCUAACUUAAAGACUAGUAUGUGGGCAACCAAUGUCAGAAAUGAACAUGGACAAGUUAUCAUGACUGUCAUGACUACAAGCGAAGGCUAUGGUCUGUCUAACAUGAUACAAGACUUGUGUGCACGCUACCAGAAUGCCUUAGGGCCAUCUCCUCUGAUCCUGUAUGUUGAUAGGGACUGCUGUGGUGCUGCAUAUAUUGGAAAAUACUUUAAAACCUGGUCAUGCAUUAUAGUGAGAUAAGUAAUUCUUUUCUAUACUUACACAAAACUCCUUUACAAGCCUUUUCAAUAGUUUUCAACUUUAUUUAAAUCAAAGAUUACAGUGAAUAGUUGAAAUGAUUAUUUCUUGUGUUCUUUUCAGUGUCAUUUCUUUGGUAUUUCUAAUAUAUAUUGUUCUUUGGGCUGGAGUGUGUCUGUGACAUAAUUCAUUUAGUUUUCAUUUAGUGUUUGAUAAUUUUAGAUUACAAAAUGUCUAAAAAUGAAAUGUGCACAUAUUCGGAAAAAAGUAUUAUUACACAAUUGAUUAACCAUUUUCCUGUAUGCUGUCUGUGAAAUAUCUUUAAUACACAUACACUUUAGAAUAUUAUGAAUACAACAUCUAACAUAUAAUCACAAAUGCUUCCAUGCAGUAUUUACAGUAAUUUCCUGUGAGCAGAAAUAUCUUCUUAUAUAAUUAUUGUCUUGUGAUGAUAAAGGAGAUUUCCAGCCAUUCUAGCAUAAAACUGCUGUUCUUGUCACAUUUCGGGGGUGUUUUAACAAGAGAGAAAACGUGUGUUAACAGAGAGAUUCUCGCGCUCGCGUGCUGUUAUAACACCUUUUUAUAUAUGCGAGUUCCGUGGCAAAGCGUAAACGUCAUUCGGCCCCAAAACGGAUAAUUCAAAACAAAAUGACGUCAACGUAAAAAACAACUCAGACAUUCCCGCGCAUUUCAUGGAAAUUUAAUGACGUUGAGCUAGGAUGUAUUAAUUUAUUAGUAUUAUUUUCCGCGUUUUAUGCUAGAAUAGCGUUAGCGCAUGAUCGUUUCGUGUUAUAACAUCUGCAGAAUCCCUCGGGAUACGUUGGUACCCACGCCCUACGGGCUCGGGCACCAACCAAUCCCUCGGGAUUCUGCAGACGUUAUAACACGAAAAAACAUGCGUUAUCCCUACAUUAACAGACCUAUUCUAGACAUAGCAUUUUCAUAGAAUGCUUGUAUUUGAUGCAUUAAUUUAGUAAAAUUACAUUGGAAUGAAAAAUAUAAGCAUUUGAUAAUUUCUUAUUUACAGACCGGAUAUCUGGCAUUUCAUGCAGAGAUUGUCUGUCGGAUGCACAACUGAUGCCCAUCUAUUGUACGGGACCUUCAUGGGUUGUCUCAGCCACUGUAUCUUCAAGUUGGAGGAUGAAGUCGUCAAGACACUCCCAGUCCUUUUGACAACUGGCAGGCUCGACAUGUUGCCCUUUGGCAUCUAGUGUUAGUUUUAUAAUAUUUAGCUUAUAAGACUGGAAUUUUGACCAAAUUCAAAGAAUUUUGACUCUAAGGUGAAAAAGUGGACUAACUGCAUAAUAAGACAUCUAUAUCUUUGCACAGGCUAUAAAAAAGUGUCAUCUGUUUUCAUGGGUAGUUCCGAGUAUGUUAUUUGAUUGAGGAUAAAUUACAUAUUAUUGUACAUUACGUUUUCAUCUGUCGGUGAUAUUUACAUAUUUUCAUGAAAUUUCCUUAAAACCAUGUGUAUUUACAAUAUAAAUAUUUCUUGCACGAGUUCUUUUGACCGCUUAAUUUUCAUUUUUUUCUGUCAGCAGUUGAACUUAAUUUCAUAAAAAUAUUUCUUAUCAAAUAC